rnacentral:rRNA from 1 species
UUGACCUCGGAUCAGGAAGG